GGCUGCUCUGAGUGCAGCAGUGUUUACAACUCUUUGAUCACAACCAGUUACAGAUUUUGUUGGUUCCUUCUCCAUUCCCACUGCUUCACCUGACUAGCCUUAA
ensembl:Y_RNA Y_RNA Y RNA